CGACGAAAACCUUACCUACCUUGACAUGUCGUGGUAACCUUGCUGAGGAGGCGGAGGGUCGUCCGUUCGGGACGCCGAAGAACACGAGGUGCUGCAGUGCUGUCGUCAGCUCGUGUCGUGAGAUGUUGGGUUAAGUCCCGCAACGAGCGCAACCCUUGUCAUUAGUUGCCAUCAUUUAGUUGGGCACUCUAAUGAGACUGCCGGUGACAAACCGGAGGAAGGUGGGGAUGACGUCAAGUCCUCAUGGCCCUUAUGGGUAGGGCUUCACACGUCAUACAAUGGUCGGUACAGAGGGUUGCCAAGCCGCGAGGUGGAGCCAAUCCCUUAAAGCCGAUCGUAGUCCGGAUCGUAGUCUGCAACUCGACUACGUGAAGUCGGAAUCGCUAGUAAUCGCAGAUCAGCAUGCUGCGGUGAAUACGUUCCCGGGUCUU
rnacentral:rRNA from 1 species